GUGUCCUGUGCCCUGUGCCCUGGGAUGGCCUUUCUUGAGUAGGGAGGUGGCACCAGUGACCCACUGUGGCUCCUUCCAGCCUGAGCUAUCCUGGCAUUCUGUGGCUCUGUGACUUCACUGUUUGAAGAAGGAAGUCCUGCAGGCAGAUUGAUCACCUAGAACAGGGGUGUGUGGUAGCCCAUUCCCAGAAAGCAUGGAGGGACUUCUGGAAUGCCUUAUGGAUAAAAUCUUGUUCAUGUUUGUGUCUUCCUCACAUAAAUCAGGGAGCCUACCCACCCCUCCAUAUCAAAAGGUCACUGUCAAAAAGAAAAGCAAGGAAUCUCCUCUGGAAUUGUGAAAAGCAUCCUGAAAGGCUGAAGGGACUCCUGAGAAUGAUCUACUGGAAAAGAAGGUCACGCAUUCCCACUGGAGUGAAUGAGAUAAAUGUGAUGCUCACGUGUGAAAUGUGGCAGGAAUUUCACAACAGAGAGAUUUUCUGCCUACCAUGAAAUAAGUGGAAGGAAAACAUAGAUGUGCUCACUGAAAAUUCAUGGCCUGGAGAGCAAAAAGGGCCGGUCCAUAGCCUGGAAAUUUUCAAAGAUAUUCAGUGGGGUUGUAUUGAACCAUCUGUGGCAUGACACCUUCGGGAGCUGCACCCUGAAGAGGAGGAGACAUGGAUUGUCAUCAGCACGUGGAGACUGGGAAAAUUGAAAAACAGAUGAAUAUUUUGGAUUGGGUCCUUGGACUGGAAGUGGUUGUCUGACAUCAAUCUGCAUCACCUGCUGUAUUGUAUGAUGGUAGCUAAGAAUAAAAAUCUCUACUAUUUCCGCCUGAGGA